AUUGAACGCUGGCGGCAGGCCUAACACAUGCAAGUCGAGCGGAUGAAGGGAGCUUGCUCCUGGAUUCAGCGGCGGACGGGUGAGUAAUGCCUAGGAACCUGCCUGGUAGUGGGGGAUAACGUCCGGAAACGGGCGCUAAUACCGCAUACGUCCUGAGGGAGAAAGUGGGGGAUCUUCGGACCUCACGCUAUCAGAUGAGCCUAGGUCGGAUUAGCUAGUUGGUGGGGUAAAGGCCUACCAAGGCGACGAUCCGUAACCGGUCUGAGAGGAUGAUCAGUCACACUGGAACUGAGACACGGUCCAGACUCCUACGGGAGGCAGCAGUGGGGAAUAUUGGACAAUGGGCGAAAGCCUGAUCCAGCCAUGCCGCGUGUGUGAAGAAGGUCUUCGGAUUGUAAAGCACUUUAAGUUGGGAGGAAGGGCAGUAAGUUAAUACCUUGCUGUUUUGACGUUACCAACAGAAUAAGCACCGGCUAACUUCGUG
rnacentral:rRNA from 1 species